rfam:Salmo salar isolate Sally breed double haploid chromosome ssa09, whole genome shotgun sequence.
UACAUUCACUACUGUAAGUCGCUCUGGAUAAGAGCGUCUGCUAAAUGACGUAAA